GUGGGGAAUAUUGGACAAUGGGGGGAACCCUGAUCCAGCCAUGCCGCGUGUGUGAAGAAGGCCUUUUGGUUGUAAAGCACUUUAAGCGAGGAGGAGGCUACCGAGAUUAAUACUCUUGGAUAGUGGACGUUACUCGCAGAAUAAGCACCGGCUAACUCUGUGCCAGCAGCCGCGGUAAUACAGAGGGUGCAAGCGUUAAUCGGAUUUACUGGGCGUAAAGCGCGCGUAGAUGGCCAAUUAAGUCAAAUGUGAAAUCCCCGAGCUUAACUUGGGAAUUGCAUUCGAUACUGGUUGGCUAGAGUAUGGGAGAGGAUGGUAGAAUUCCAGGUGUAGCGGUGAAAUGCGUAGAGAUCUGGAGGAAUACCGAUGGCGAAGGCAGCCAUCUGGCCUAAUACUGACACUGAGGUGCGAAAGCAUGGGGAGCAAACAGGAUUAGAAACCCCUGUAGUCC
rnacentral:rRNA from 1 species